UACGUAGGGGGCAAGCGUUAUCCGGAUUUACUGGGAGUAAAGGGAGCGUAGACGGCAGUGCAAGUCUGGAGUGAAAGGCGGGGGCUCAACCCCCGGACUGCUCUGGAAACUGUACGGCUGGAGUGCAGGAGAGGUAAGUGGAAUUCCUAGUGUAGCGGUGAAAUGCGUAGAUAUUAGGAGGAACACCAGUGGCGAAGGCGGCUUACUGGACUGUAACUGACGUUGAGGCUCGAAAGCGUGGGGAGCAAACAGG
rnacentral:rRNA from 1 species